GGCUUCAUGGUCAAGUGGUAAGGACACUUGCCUCUCAUCCUAGAGUUCCGCGUUCGAUCCCCUGUCAAGAAGCUA